rnacentral:rRNA from 1 species
UACGUAGGGGGCAAGCGUUGUCCGGAUUUAUUGGGCGUAAAGAGCUCGUAGGCGGUUGGGCAAGUCACGUGUGAAAUCUCCACGCUCAACGUGGAGGCGCCACGUGAGACUGCCCUGACUCGAGUCCGGUAGGGGAGCGUGGAAUUCCCGGUGUAGCGGUGAAAUGCGCAGAUAUCAGGAGGAACACCGGUGGCGAAGGCGGGUCUCUGGGCAGUAACUGACGCUGAGGAGCGAAAGCGUGGGGAGCGAACAGG